GGGGGGAGCAAGCGUUGUUCGGAUUUACUGGGCGUAAAGGGCGCGUAGGCGGCCAGCACAAGUCAGUUGUGAAAUCUCCGAGCUUAACUCGGAAAGGUCAACUGAUACUGUGCGGCUAGAGUGCAGAAGGGGCAACUGGAAUUCUUGGUGUAGCGGUGAAAUGCGUAGAUAUCAAGAGGAACACCUGCGGCGAAGGCGGGUUGCUGGGCUGACACUGACGCUGAGGCGCGAAAGCUAGGGGAGCGAACGGGAUUAGAUACCCCGGUAGUCCUAGCCUUAAACGAUGAAUGCUUGUGUCUGGGGUUAUAAAGUCCCCGGGUGCCGUCGCUAACGCUUUAAGCAUUCCGCCUGGGGAGUACGGUCGCAAGACUG
rnacentral:rRNA from 1 species